UACGUAGGGUGCAAGCGUUGUCCGGAAUUAUUGGGCGUAAAGAGCUCGUAGGCGGUGUGUCGCGUCUGCUGUGAAAACUCGAGGCUCAACCUCGGGCUUGCAGUGGGUACGGGCAGACUAGAGUGCGGUAGGGGAGACUGGAAUUCCUGGUGUAGCGGUGGAAUGCGCAGAUAUCAGGAGGAACACCGAUGGUGAAGGCAGGUCUCUGGGCCGCAACUGACGCUGAGGAGCGAAAGCAUGGGGAGCGAACAGG
rnacentral:rRNA from 1 species